UACGUAGGGGGCAAGCGUUGUCCGGAUUUAUUGGGCGUAAAGAGCUCGUAGGUGGUUCGGUAAGUCGGAUGUGAAAUCUCCAGGCUCAACCUGGAGGGGUCAUUCGAUACUGCCGUGACUCGAGUCCGGUAGAGGAGCGUGGAAUUCCUGGUGUAGCGGUGAAAUGCGCAGAUAUCAGGAGGAACACCAGCGGCGAAGGCGGCGCUCUGGGCCGGUACUGACACUGAGGAGCGAAAGCGUGGGUAGCAAACAGG
rnacentral:rRNA from 1 species